CCUACGGGGGGCAGCAGUGGGGAAUAUUGGGCAAUGGGCGCAAGCCUGACCCAGCAACGCCGCGUGAAGGAAGAAGGCUUUCGGGUUGUAAACUUCUUUUGUCAGGGAAGAGUAGAAGACGGUACCUGACGAAUAAGCCACGGCUAACUACGUGCCAGCAGCCGCGGGAAUACGUAGGUGGCAAGCGUUGUCCGGAUUUACUGGGUGUAAAGGGCGUGUAGCCGGGUUGACAAGUCAGAUGUGAAAUCCUGAGGCUUAACCGCAGAACUGCAUUUGAAACUGUUGAUCUUGAGUACUGGAGAGGCAGACGGAAUUCCUAGUGUAGCGGUGAAAUGCGUAGAUAUUAGGAGGAACACCAGUGGCGAAGGCGGUCUGCUGGACAGCAACUGACGGUGAGGCGCGAAAGCGUGGGGAGCAAACAGGAUUAGAUACCCGGGUAGUC
rnacentral:rRNA from 1 species